AUUAAACAUAUGCUAAAAUCAAAAUAAAUACUAAAUAUGCUAAAAGGAGCAUACACCCAUAACAUAAAACAUUAAAACAUUGUGCACAUCAUUUUUUAGCAGCAUUCACAGUGGCUAUUGCAGUUGGAUAAAAAUUGUGUUUGAGUCUAUUUGUUCUAGCACCAAUGGCCCUGUAUCGUCUGCCUGAAGGCAGCAUUUUAAACAGGGGGUGACCAGGGUGUGAAGUGUCCUUUAUGAUGUUGUGGGCUUUCUUGAGACAAUGGGAUCUGUGUAGGUCUUCCAGUGCUGGGAGAGGGCAGCCGACAGUCCUUUGGGCGUUGUUGAUGACCCUCUGGAGCGUUUUUCUCUGAGCCACUGUACUGCUGGUGUACCAAAUGCAUACGCAGUAGGAAAAUAUCUGUAAUACCGUCUUCAGGCCACCAGAUGUUGACUGCUCGACACCAUGCAAGUGGCUUGUUUUGCAGCCAUUCAGCCCGCAUUCAUCUUUGGCCAUUUUUGCCAGCAGAGAUAGAAAUGUCAAGACGACAAUGGCAAGACCUAUCACUCUGAGAUUCACAACAGCAUCUUCAGAAAUCUUUGGGUUUUUCUAUUCCUACGCUCCAUGACAACACUGGUGCUGUCAGUGUUGCAGAUAUUUCUUAAAGUCUGUGUAAAGUAAGAAUAAAUAUGUGUUCUGAGUUUGUCACACCAAGAAAGAAAGUGUUAUUAACCACCCAGCCAAAUUUGAAUGAUUAAAAAUAUCUUCAGGUUUAUGAAAUUAGGUGUCAAAUUAGGUGUAUUCUCAGUUCU